rnacentral:rRNA from 1 species
CUGCAGUGGGGAAUAUUGCGCAAUGGACGAAAGUCUGACGCAGCGACGCCGCGUGGGUGAUGAAGUUCUUCGGAACGUAAAACCCUGUCAGGAGGGACGAAGAUCUGACGGUACCUCCAAAGGAAGCCCCGGCUAACUCCGUGCCAGCAGCCGCGGUAAUACGGGGGGGCAAGCGUUGUUCGGAAUUACUGGGCGUAAAGGGCGCGUAGGCGGCUAAGCAGGUCCGGUGUGAAAUCCCUCGGCUCAACUGAGGAAUUGCGCUGGAAACCGCUUGGCUCGAGUACAGGAGAGGAGGGCGGAAUUCCCGGUGUAGCGGUGAAAUGCGUAGAUAUCGGGAAGAACACCGGUGGCGAAGGCGGCUCUCUGGACUGUAACUGACGCUGAGGCGCGAAAGCGUGGGGAGCGAACGGGAUUAGAUACCCCGGUAGUCCACGCUGUAAACGUUGGGUACUUGGUGUUGGGGGUUUGAGUCCCUCAGUGCCGAAGCUAACGCAUUAAGUACCCCGCCUGGGGAGUACGGUCGCAAGGCUG